rnacentral:rRNA from 1 species
CCGACCGCGACCCCAGGUCAGGCGGGACUACCCGCUGAAUUUAAGCAUAUAAAUAAGCGGAGGAGAAGAAACUUACA